rnacentral:lncRNA from 1 species
CUGUGGAAGCAGCCCUGUCUUUUCUCUGUGCCUGAAUCAACUCCACCUGCCAUAAUGUGUGCUUGGUUUUCAGUUUUUUUUUCUUUCUUUUUUUAAAUACAGUGCUCCCAACCUGCCUUUCUUUCUACCGCAUUUUCUCUCUCAGAGAUAUUCUGGUUGUUCAGCAUGGGUCCCUAGAAGCCAUCACUAUCGACUCUUUGGAUUUAUCUUGCUGUUGAUUUUGAUAGAUCCUUUGAUGCCAUUUUGGUUGCACUUGGCCUUGCAGAUAUUUAUUACUGUCCAAUUGCACAUGAUUUUUGUUUUGUAGCUGCUGAAUAUUGUAUUUCAGACCGUAAAUCCAGGCAGUUGUCAAAUGCAUGAGCUGUUCUCCAUCUAUUCUGCUUGCCCUUCUGGAGGAAGGAAGACAGUGUGGAAAGAGCACAGGGUGGGAGGAAGAAGACUUCUAUUUCAGUGUGACUGGUUCACAGGGCUGAGUGUCUUGGCUCUGCCUCUCGUUAACUGUGUGCCCUUGAGUCGGAUGCUAACCGGAGUCUCAGUGCUCAUUUGCAAAAUAGGAUUAUGUUCCCUGGAUUACCAUCUCACAGGACUGUUGAGGUUCAAGCCCUAAUGGGUGAAGCUUUUAGGACCUCCAGGAAGGAUCUUAGGAAUUACAGUGUUUAGCUCCGUCAUUUUACAAAGAAAGACACUGAAGUCCAGAGAGACUUUCGAGGGCAGGGACCAUGCCUUAUCCAUCUUUCUUUCCUGGGGAUCCAGACAGAGUCAGGCACAUACUAGGUGUCCAAUAAAUAUUUUGUAAGUGAGUGGGGAAUCAGCUUGCGGUGACACAUCUAUGAUUUAACCUCAUGAUGACUCAGGGUUGUUAUCAACAUCAAUUACUAUAUGUGCCGUUAGGCCCUGAUGCCUUCAGAACCAAUUAGUCUGUGUAGGAUGCGGCCAUGAUGCUUUUCUUCCCAGGUUUUCUCCUUUCUCCUCCCUCACUGUCACCUGUCAGUUCGCUCUGCAGCCUUGGGGUCCACUCCGAGAAAUCUCCAUCGCUCUUUCUAAUCAGCUGUCCACUCUAGGCUAGGGCAGAACAAGAGUUAAAUGGCCGUGAACGAUUUAAAGUCAGCACAUGUCAGGUACCUUUACUGGAGUCGCAGUAUACUUACUGCACAGACCAGAAGCAUAGGCUAUUUGAAUCUGGAGGAGGCCUUACUGUCGUCCGGUCUGGGACUCUUAAGUCCUGCAAGUAUUUCUUAACUCACUGUACCUUUCCAGGGCCUCUGCCAUGAUGGGGUCAGUUUACUCAGUGGCUUAGGAAGCGGGUGCAUGCUUUCUGCGGGCAGCGGCUACUAAUGCAAUGGUUUCUGCCUCUGGAAUCAAUGACCUGGAUUCUUAAGCAUUGUCCCUUCACAGCACAGGGAAGGUAAAACACACGUAGAUGUGGCUUUCUCCUGUCAUUCCUUUUUUUUUUUUUGUCUUUUUGCCUUUUCUAGGGCCUCACUUGCAGCAUAUGGAGGUUCCCAGGCUAGGAGUCUAAUCGGAACUGUAGCCGACGGCCUACACCAGAGCCACAGCAAUGUGGGAUCUGAGCCACGUCUGCGACCCACACCACAGCUCACGGCAACACUGGAUCCUUAACCCACUGAGCAAGGCCAGGGAUCGAACCUGUAACCUCAUGGUUCCUAGUCGGAUUCGUUAACCACUGAGCCACGACAGGAACUCCUCCCCUCUCACUCCUGAUAGAAGUUCCCUUCUCUUCCUCUCUUUGUCCUUUCCAGCCCCCCUUAGUCUUGACUGAAGUGAAACAUUUUUUACUGUUAUAGACUGUUGAGGUAUCUAGGUGAAGCUUAAAAGAUGUAAACCAGAAACACUAUUAAUAAUUAAGUCGAUAAGGGGAGAUAUAGGGGAAAUGGGAGUUUUAUCACUGGAUUUUAAAUUGAGGUAGGAGUAAACUCAUUGAAAUCAGACUUCACUAUUCAUUUGAAAGCCUGUAAAUGGCAGACAAAUUAUCAGCCACAAAUUGGGAUUUAUGUUCUGUGGGUUUUUAACAAGGGCAGUUGGGGCAGCUCAAUGCUCUUACUGAUUCACCGUCUGGGAAGGAUCAGCCUGGCUUACCGCCUCCCUGAGGGCAGGGCGGUGGCAGGGCACAGAGCAGAUGCCUGAGGUUCAAGCUCUUUUCUGCCUGUGUGAUCUCAGUUUCCUUAUCUGUAAGAGAGCAACAAUAUUGAUAUCUCCCUCGCAGGGUGGGGUGUGAUGACUCAAAUGAGAUAAUGCUUGUGACAGUGAUUCGUAAAUCAUAAAGCUACACAGAUGCCUGCCGCUCACAUUACUCAGUUGACUCAGCAUAGAGGGUCUUCUCGCUGUGCUGGGCUUCGGGCGGCCAAGGCAUGGGGCAGGCCAAGGAGCCCGUCUGGCAAGAAGGAGCAAAGAGAUGCUGUUCAAAUGAAAACCCAUCAUCAGGAAAGCUGAUGAUUACCAGGCAAAGGAACAUGUAGAUAUCUUAGACUCACAAAAGGGAGAUGAAGUCUACGGAGCCCGGACCUUGUUGUGGGAUUGAAUUGUUACAAGUGGUUGUCGGCGGGCAGAAAAUACAAAGUCCAAGAUGGUGUUCAUUCUGCACAGCCAGAGACAGGGCAGCGUAAGGCCCGACAGCUGGUUCUGGAGCAGGAAGCAAAUCCAGGGUGAGACAUAGGUCCGAGUCAGGGAAGGCCCCUGAGCGAUGGUGGAGUCUGAGUGGAGCUCAGGUGGGAGGCAGCAUCUGUGGGUUCACCGCAGUGUCCAAGCCAACUGGGGUGCAUGAUGGAUUAAUUAAUAAUUUAAUGGCUAUCGAUGAAGUAGUUACCACAUGCUACGUACUUCUUUAGCAACAGUGAGUAAGACAGACGCGGACACGUCUUCACGGCUCAUGGACUGGUGGUUUAAAGAGAUGAAUAAAUAGGAAUCACGCUGCAGCGGGGAAGGGCUUGUGCUCCAGGAAGAGCUUUUACCCCGGCCUUGUCCGUGGCGGGGGUGGUGGGACCCAACUUCUGCAGGGUCCUCAGCCUGGCUGGAGGGAUACCCAUGAGGGCCCCUCUGCACGCCAUUGCCCCUGCUGUGGCCCUCACUCAGCUGGGCCACAGCAGGAGGCUCCCACCUGACCUCCUUGCCCCGGAGUCUCUCUUGGCUCCAGCCUCUGGUGUCAUUCCUUAGGUCAUUGUUUGUUAAUGGACCCAGACUAGACUAUGAAACUGGCCCUUUCUGUGGGGAAGCAGCCCCUUGAGAGCAAGGACAGCGACUUUGGUCUGUACGGCUUUGGUACCUAGUGCUCCAGCUCAGUGGGUGUUGGAGGAGAACAAGGAGAGGAAAGGGCGGGAAGGCACAGAGGGAGAAAGGAGGGUCUUCAUGUCCACGGCUGUCUUCUCCUUCCAAGCUUGUUCUCCAUGAACUUGAAGGUGAGAACCUGGGGCAUUAGGACUUCGCAGAGCUGUGAGCUCUUCCUGAUGCAGUGGCUUCCCUCAUGAGCCAGCCAGCAGCCAGAGAGCCAGAACCCAGGCCAGUUUUUCGCUUUUGCACACAGUUUUCUUUGCAAGUCUCCUGGGAACAGGAACUCCUUGCCAGCUUCGCGGCCCCUGGAGCAAGUCUCACUAGAUUCCCCUGGGGGAUUCACCUUUGCCUUGGGCUGCAGUCCCUGCAGGGCACUCAGCUCUGUCCACAGUAAGAGUAAAUUGUAGUAGUGUUUACGGAGGCUCUUGUACCCACCAUACAGGGCCCAAAUGCAGGGGUCUCAACCCUCAGGACAGUGGUUCCCAACACAUUUAAGGAAGAGCCAGGCUUUGUCCUGGCGACUGAGAAGACUCCGUUUUGACUUCCCGGAGGCUGAAAACUCACUUGGGGUGAGGGGUGAAAACUCACAGGGAGGUGGUUAAGGGUAGGAUGAUGUGCAGGCAUGUGUUUCUCUCUACUCCCCACUGCCCGAGUCGUUCAAGAUCGGUGCCUGAAGAGAUGGGCGCUUCAUGAGAAUUCCAAGGACGAAGCGGUCAUACUCCCAGGAGGCGGGGCUUGGAGAGAAUGCCAUCAAGUGGCAGUGUUUGAGGUGCCUCAGCCAAGGGCUGGACUGAGAGGGCGUCCCAGGAGCGGGGACUGGCACACGCCCAGGUGUGGAGAGGAUCAGGCACAAGGGUAGCUGCGAAAGACCUACUAGGUGAGUUUUAUGAGAAUAUACAUUGUCUUUAAGGGAAAAGAAAGCCGACAAGACAAAACAAAACCCCUCCGUCAGGCCAUAUUGCUGAGGGAGAGCUUUUGAAUCAAGGUGAGUAUGUUGUGUGAGUUAUCACCAACAUUUAUUGAGCUAACAGAACAAUCGCCCUGCAGAUUUGGACAGGCAGCUCCGUUUUACAGACGGCGAAGCUGAGGUUUAAAGACAUAAUUUUUCCAAGGUCACACACCUAGAAAGCUAUGGAGCCAGAACAUGUAUCAAGGUCUGUCUGGCUCUGGCACCAAAGGUCAUGUCCUUGACCCCUUCACUGUAGCGACCGCAUGGGAGUGGGUGAGCUUGUCGAGGGAGACAGCAGAGAUGGGGAAAAGGUCUGAGAUUCAAGGCAGCAUCGAUGUUUACUCAGGGGCUGGGAGAAUGAAGAGGAGCCAGGGUAGGAGAGAGACGGAGUAGAACUAGACUUCCUCAGGACUAAAUCCCAGAGAGGAGGGAGAACCAAGAAGGAGAAGGCAGCCGGGACUCUCCAACAUUCAGAGAGGCCAGGAAGAGGAGGGACAGAGCUGGAGGCGGCUGGAGGGCAUUUGCAGUGCACUGCAAGUCAGUGAGGGGCGGGGAGGCAGUGAAACAAGGUUACUCAUUGAAGAAAUGUGGUGAACAGCCAGUAGUUAGGCUGAGCAGGAGGUAGGACAAAAAGAGAAGCAGGGUUGAGGGGAGGUUUCUUUUUUCAUGUAUUUUUAACUAUGAAAUAUUUUGAAAGUAAAAAAAUAAUAUAGCUGGCAACCACGAAUCACCCUUCAGACUUAAGAUGUUAGCAUUUCUGAUAUUUGAUAUGGCUCUUUCCCCCUUUCUUUAAAAACAAAAAAAGACUUAGAGGCUUACAGAUUCAGCUAAUCCCCCUCCCAUCCUCACUUCUCCUCUCUCCCUCCUCACUGGUAAUUACCAUCCUUAAGUUAGUAUGAGUCCCUUACAUUGAAACAAACAAACAAAAACCCCAUGGAGUUCCCAUCAUGGCACAGGGGAAAUGAAUCCCAUUAGGAACCAUGAGGUUGAGAGUUCCAUCCCUGGCCUCCCUCACUGGGUUAAGGAUCUGGCGUUGCCAUGAGCUGUGGUGUAGGUCGCAGACUCCACUCAGAUCCUGCGUUACUGAGUGGUAGGCCGGCAGCUGUAGCUCCAACUGAACCCCUAGUCUGGGAACCUCCA